UUGAUUCGCAUGGAUGGUGUCUAUCGCGUUUUAGCGGUAACUUAUCGAGUAGCUGACAUUGGGGUUAGUAGCAAUGAAAUGAAAUUUUCUCUAGAUUCUGCUUCGGUUUUGUCGCUGCAUGUGAUUGGGAAGGUGCAUUACUGAAAACAAAUGGUUUCUUUUCAGAAUAAUAAUUUCACACGAGAGAAGAUUGAGCCGAGACGAAUAUUUUUUAAAGUACAAACCAUAAGCUUUGUUGCUGCUUGUGAUUGGAUAGGCGUAUUGUGGAAAACAAAUUGGUUCUGUAAGGUUCUCUCUAUGAAAUUAUGAUGUAACUCUCAGGAUGAAACUAGAAAUAAUCGGUUAACAUUUCCUGAACGAUUGCUACGGGAAUGAACGGCAAAAAUCGACAUAGUAGUCGUAAUUACAAGGAUGACAGUUUUGUUAUGAAUCACGGACAAGUAAUGGCGUUUCAUGGCAGGUCAGAUCUUACAGGUUCUUAUCAUAACCAUCAUAUUACAUGGGAGCCAAACUUCUGAGGCGAAUUUUCUUCAAAGUGCAAUUCAUAAUUGCUUGAGAGCAACAGAACAACGCCGUAUUCAAAUAAAUAUGAAAAUUGCUAACAGUUGAGUAAAUUUUCAAUCGAAUAUCAUCUUUAAUCCCAGCACCUACUAAUCUAAGAACCUACAGAGAUUUCAUCUGGUUCAUGAAGCAGUUUCUCUAUCUGGAUUGUGCUUCGGAUCCAACUAUAGCGACUACUCUGGGUGGCACAUGUCUCGAUCUAACGUCCACAAGGAACGUGGAAAGUGUGGAAUGCAGGAGAUACUGCACGUACUUCUCCUACCGCCGGCCUAUUUUGACGAUUCUUGCGAUGUCCCGAGAACCAAUGCCAUCCCAGUGAAGUGGAUUAACGUCACUGAUCGUCGUUGUUCCGCUAGCUCAUCUGCUAAAAUGUUUGAUUUCAACCUGAAUGACCAAUCAUUGACAUCAGCCGUACAGUCCGUAGCAAAAAUAGAAAAUUCAUCCUGAAAAUGAAGCUUGAGUAUUUGAUUCAGCCCAACAGUGCAUUGAUUGAUACAGCCUUUAACAUUCAUCGGGACCACGGCGUACAUCACUUCAAAAGGCUUCAAGCCAACAUAAACAAAUGGCCCUUUUCAGGGGCACCAAAUAUUUAUGUAGGAAGUUGUUGUUAAGGUUGUUGUUUACCGAACUUCUGUUUCUUUAAUACUGUGUUUAUAGUUAUAAACCGAAAUGAGUUUAUAG